rnacentral:rRNA from 1 species
UGGGGAAUCUUCCGCAAUGGACGAAAGUCUGACGGAGCAACGCCGCGUGUAUGAUGAAGGUCUUCGGAUUGUAAAGUACUGUCAUUGGGGAAGAACGGUUUUCUUGAAAAGAUUGAGAAGACAUGACGGUACCCAAGGAGGAAGCCCCGGCUAACUACGUGCCAGCAGCCGCGGUAAUACGUAGGGGGCAAGCGUUGUCCGGAAUUAUUGGGCGUAAAGGGCGCGUAGGCGGGCCUUUAAGUCCGGUGUGAAAGAUCAGGGCUCAACCCUGAGAGUGCAUCGGAAACUGGAGGCCUUGAGGACAGGAGAGGAAAGUGGAAUUCCACGUGUAGCGGUGAAAUGCGUAGAUAUGUGGAGGAACACCAGUGGCGAAAGGCGACUUUCUGGACUGUAACUGACGCUGAGGCGCGAAAGCGUGGGGAGCAAACAGGAUUAGAUACCCUGGUAGUCCACGCCGUAAACGAUGAGUGCUAGGUGUAGAGGGUAUCGACCCCUUCUGUGCCGCAGUUAACACAAUAAGCACUCCCGCCUGGGGAGUACGGCCGCAAGGUUGAAACUCAAAUGAAUUGACGGGGUCAUAGCUG